AAAAAUAAUCAUAAUAUAUAAUAUUUAUGUUAUUAUUAUUUUUUAUUUAAUAAUACUAAUUAUUUUUAAGAAUAAAAUAAUAUAUUGUUAUAAAAUCUAAUCUAUUUUAAUAUUUAUACAUAUACAAUUUUAUUCUUGUUUCCUGCCAUACAUGAUGUUCCAAACCACAUAUACUCAACCGAUUUAAAGUAAACCUACUUAUGCCAAAUAAUGUUUUUUUAUAAUUUUUUUAAAUGACUAAAUAUAUAGAAUUGGGCUGACUAUACCUUUCUUCAUUAUUCAUCCUCUUUUAAAUGUUGAUCGAUCUAAAUAUUAGAAAAUAAUGAUUAUAUUAUAUUUAUUUAUUUCAAAUUUUCCUUAAAUCAUUUUUUUUUAAAUAUUAAACAUUGUAAAAAUAUAGGUCGAUCAACCACAAGUACUAAUUACGUUUCAGGCUCAAAGUAUUUUCGUUCCUUUCAAUCAUCUUGGUACAAUACCUAUCCUUGGUUGUGUGGGAGUAUACAUGCUCAAAAAUUAUAUUUUGUUGGCCAUGUGUUCUUCUUUCACAUGUAAAGUCUGUCUGGGUCAAACAAGGAUACUAUGACCUUAAAAAUUUGCAACGGUCAGCAAAAAAGCAUGCGGAAUCAGGCAAUCAUUUAACAUCAUUUAUGAAUUUAAAAAGACUAGAAAAAAACAUGUCAACAAUAAAAGAUUUACUACAGGAAAAUGUCUCACAUUGUAAAAUCAUAUACAAUGAGAAAGUUAGAAAAAACAGAAUGUUAUUUAGUAACUUAAUUGAUACCACUAUACUCCUAGCAAAACAAGAACUGUCAUUUCGUGGUCAUCGAGGAAGAGGUUCGAAAAAUAGGGGAAACUUUAUUGAUUUUUUUAAUCCCAAAAUAAAAUAUAAUGAAAAACUACGAAAUCAUAUUGAAAAGCUUGGAAAAUCAUUUUGUUCCAAAAACCAUUCAAAAUUAUUUAAUUUUUUGCAUAAGUGAAGUAAUUAAAGAAGAGAUUAAUCAGCAACUUAAAGACAAGGAUUUUUUUGCCGUAAUUGUAGAUGAUACCACCAACAUUACUGAAAAAUCUCAGUGUGCAGUGUCACUAAGAUAUGUCGAGAAAAAAAUCUCUGAAUAUUUAUGAACGAUUUUUGGGUUUUUACGAUGUGAGUGAUGACCGAACUUCAGAAGCCUUAUACACAUUAGUUGCCAGCGUUUUAUCUCCAUUUAAUUACAAAGAAAAGCUGGUGGCACAGAUGGGCAUCCAGAUCCAAGAUUGUUUUGCUACUAACAAAUGAAUACAUCAACGUUAUCUCCGUGUUUGAAAAUAUUAUGAAUGAUCGAUCUUCAGGUGCGGUCUCUAUUAAUAGUGCUAAAGGAUUUCUAAAAUCUUUUUUAGAAUUUGAAUUUCUAUUUCUUUUAAAUGUGUUUAGCGAAAUUUUCUUAAAAACAGAUUUUCAUUAUGACAAUUUAAAAAAAAAACAUUUGAUGUUGUCCUAUGCAAAAAAUAUGUUGAUACAUGUAUUGCGCAACUAGGCGAAUUAAGGACAGAUGAUAUUUUGUAUAAUUUAAAAACAAAAUCAGCUAAUUUAGUUAAUAAUGCCAAACAAACCAUCAGUUUUUCAUAUAAUCUUAAAGAUAAGUCUGACGAAAAUAUGAAAGGUCUUUAUUUUGAAAUUCUUGAUACAAUAGUUGUACAAUUAACAGAAAGAUUUAAGAACUUUACAGACAUACAAUUUUUAGCGCUAAUUGAAUGCAAUAACUUGCGUUAAAAACUGAACUGAAAAUAAUAUUUGGCGAUGAACAGUUUUCAGGCUGUAGUCCACAACAAAUAUUUAAUAUUUUCACAAACGACCUAAAAGAUGUUUUUCCGUAUACAACUAAACUUAUUAUGAUGUAUGUAUACAAUUAAACUUAAUAUCAUAUUAACUUUACCUAUUGCAAGUGCAAGUGUGGAAAGACAUUUUUCUUGCCUUAAGACUAUAAAUCAAGACCGGUUAUAUGACCUUGCACUCUUGCCAAUCGAAAAGUCGCUUAUUAAUGAUAUGACUAGUUCCAAAACAGACGAAGAGGACUUUUAUGAAAAAAUUAUAAAAACUUUUUUAGUAACUAAAAAUCGAGCCCUUGAUUAGUUCAUAAAGUUUAAUUUGUUAGCUUAUUUUUCUUUUAAAAUUUGUUAUUUAGGUCUGGUAUAGAGGUUAAUUUUUUGUUUGUUUUCGCAUGUAUUACAUACAUUACAAUAAGUAGUACAACUUUUUUUUUUCAAAAAAUUAACAAAUAAUGCAAGUUUUGUUGGAAAUAAAUUAUCUGAAAAAUCGCGGUUUCUUAUAGUCUUAUUCUGCAAAAACGAGUUAUAAAUAUUUAAAUAAUUUAAAUGUGGGUGUAAUAAAUUUUUGAUCGUCUUAUAAUACCUGUUACAGUCCAUUGUUUUUAAAUUAUAUAACUUGAAAAUAUAUUAUAAUUAAUUUUUGGUGUUCGCCUCACCUACCAAAACUUUCCAGAUCCGCCACUGUCAUGUACCAAUAAUAAAGCCAUCGCUACUCAUGGUGACGAAAAGAAAUUUUUACAUCCGUAGAUGCUCAAUGGCCUUGCUCGGUGCACGACAGUCGUAUUUUAAGAAGAUCAAAUAUUUUUGGUAUGAUGAGAAGACGUCAACAGAACUAUGGAAUUAUUUUAGGCGAUGAAGGGUACGGCAUAACACCAUGACUAUUAACACCGUAUAGAAACCCCACCACACCUCAAGUAAUAGCGUAUAAUAAUUUACAUAAAAGAGAGCGCGUUAUUAUAGAACGCUGUUUCGGACAACUAAAACGUCGAUUCCCUGUUUUGCAACAUCCGAUACGAUUGAACAUUGACAAAAUUUGGUCAGUAAUCGUCAGCGCUGUAGUUCUGCAUAAUGUUGCUAAGUAUUUAAAUGACCAAUUACCAAAUGACGAAGAAGAAGUAGUGGAAGAUAAUGAUGAGCUAAAUAACGACCGUCAGCGUGGUCAACAGAAACGAGAAGAAAUAAAAAAUAUAAUUUUUCAAUUGCAGUUGUAAAUAUACUACUAAAUAUGAUACCAUACAGUGCGUUUUUUUUAAUGCAGUACAUAGGAUUUUACUUGGUAAAAUUUCAAGUGCGUGUUAAGUUUAUUUUUACUAAGCCUAUGCAGACCAAAAUUCACAUAGGCAAAGUUUAGGUCUCUGGAAACAUAACAAGCUUUAGUUUCUUCUUAAAAACUUGCUAGAUUUUCAGAAAAAUCAAAUUUAAUCUUAGAAAACAAACACUUUUUCAUAGCCUUGUAUAUUGAUUUAAUACCAUCUAUUUCAUCAUUACAUUGACAAUGUCAAAAAGGUGACUUAAAUGAUGUCAAAAACGAAAUUUAUUUAACAAAAUAAGCAUUUAAUUUUAGUAAAAAUGUUGAAGAAAUUAAAUUAAUAAUUUGUAUUUUAAUGCUUUUAAGCAGCUACUUCAGGAACAAAUUACAUCACAUUCUUUUAAGGACCGUAAAUUUGACGAAGGGUUUUUGUUUACUCUUAAAAGAAAUCUUUCUACUACAUACUUUCUAAUUGAUUUGCGUAGAACUGGGCGAUCUGGAUAUAAAAGCCAGUAAAUACAUUUGCCAUUUCCUGGUAUGAGACUGUUACAAUCUUUAAUCUUACUCCAAUCGUAUAAACAAGAGUCAUUUUCUAAUAAAUAAUUUAAAAAAAUUGAGCUUUUAUUUGUUGUUAUGUCAAAACAUUUGACAACUAAUGAAUGUCUGUAGCCGGUGGUCAUGUAUUGUACGGGGUAUUUCAAAAGAGUCGAUUUUUAAAUUAAUUUUUAGAAUAAAUUUAAGCAUUUUUAUUCUAACAAGACAUUUCACUUUCAGCAGAAAUGCCUUGUAUAUGAAUAUAUUUUUAUUUGAAAAGUAAUGGACAGAACAUACAGGAACUCACAAAACUUAAAAUUAUUUCUCUUAACAUGUAACAAAAGUAUGUACCUAGAAAAAUAUUAGCAUUUUUUAUAUAACUACAAAACAGAAACACACAAAACUAAAAACUAAAUUGUCUUCAAAAUUUAUUUUGAAAAAUUCUGUGAGGUAGUGUGGUAGAGAGCUACUGUGUCGAUGUUCGGUAAUCAUCAAUAUUUAACAAUUGAUUUUCAUUUGUAAUUUUGCCAGCAUAUUCGGAAGGUUCUGGAGGGGUAAAGAUGGCAUUAUUUGGAUGGUUGGGUAAAGAUGGUGGUGCGGGAUGUGUUAAUGUUGCUUCAGCGUCUGUUACAAGUUGAAAGACCUGUCGUUUAAUGUUUAGUUGUGUUGAUGCUGGAAACGUUUUUACUGUCGCCGCCAUUGAAGAAAAAAAUACAUCCAGGGGAUGUGCGUUUGUCUGCGACGAUACCUGCUGCUCACGCUUGAAUUUGCAUUGGAGAAUGCUGUACAUGUUGCCGUUUUCGUUUCGACCUGCUUAGAUGACACGUGGAGGUACUUGCAACGCUUUUUGCUGAAUCCGGGAUUGCGGGGGUUCGGAAAAACCUUCCGUCAAUUGCUGGCUAGAACCAUCAGCAUCAGAGUCGUCACCUGAACUAGGUACCAACAAAUUACUUGUUUGCAAUUCUUGUGGUUGUUGCGAAUGGGGGUUUAAAAAUGCCAAUUCUUUUUCGAAUUUUAUUGGUUUAAUCUUUUUUGCACUUUCACCACUUUUAGUUUUCCUCAACUGUUUCGCCUUCCUAUAAUUAUCCCGUAGUUUUCUCCAUGUUUCCUUACAGACGUCACCUAAAAGAAAAAAUGCUUUUAAUACAUUUUUUUUCAGGUUAUUAGCGACUGGCAAUUCUUUUAAAUCGAUGGCUUAUACGUUUCGCAUGGGAGAAAGCACUGUCCGAAAAAUUGUUUAUAAAACAUGUUAAGCUAUAUGGGAUCAAUUGCAGCCUAGAGAAAUGCCGCAAUUAUCAGAACAAAUGUGGAAGGAAACUGAAAAAAAAUGUUGGCAACGUUGGAAUUUUCCAAAUCUAAUUGGAGCGAUUGACGGAAAACACGUAGUCAUUCAAGCUCCACCGAAUACCGGUUCCCUAUACUUUUCCUACAAAAAAUAGUUUAGCGUUGUGCUGUUAGCUCUAGUAUCAGCUGACUACAAAUUUAUUGUUAUUGAUGUCGGCUCUUAUGGAAAAAAUUCAGAUGAUGGCACUCGGAAAGUUACUACGAAGCAACCAAUUACAAAUACCUCCCGAUAAAGCUCUACCAGAAACCAAUAUACUUUUGCCUCACGUAAUAGUAGGUGAUGAAGCAUUUCCUUUGUCAGUAAACCUUAUGAGACCAUACCCAGGACAUCAAACGGCCAAUAAUGAAGAAAAUCGGAUUUUUAACUAUAGACUUAGUAGAGCUCGUCAAGUAAGUGAAAAUGCAUUUGGAUUAUUAGUUAAAAAAUUUAGAAUAUAUGAGAGAACGAUAAGUAUGUCCCCAGAGCAUGUGAAUGUUGUUAUCAAAACAACGUGUAUACUUCAUAAUUAUUUAAGGGAAGACACUUGCUAUUGGAGUGAAGUGAAGAUGACCAAAAGAAAGAUUGUGUUGCAUGGGAAGUAUUUCGUCCUCUACCUGGUAUUGGGGGCAGUAAUGCCCAACAAGUUUUGCAAGUCAGAGAACAAUUCAAAAAUUAUUUCACUUCCCCAGAAGGCGCAGUCGAUUGGCAGUUACAAGAAGUACGACGUGGAAGACGCAAUAUUAUUUAAAAAUUGUCAUAGAAUAUCUUUUUUAUUCGCUUUCUUAACUAAAUAAAAUAAUUUUUAAUAUAAUGUUUCUCCAACUUUCUUUGCUAUUUCUCUCCAAAUUUCGUCCUUUCUGAGAUGGUUACUAUAAUACCUAUCACUUAAAUCGUAGAGUUCUUUAUAACUUUGAACAUGCACAAUUAAAUUUUCGCAAAAACUCAUUAUUAUUAUAGACAGUGCUAUACUCUAUUUCAGAAAUGUAUAGAGUAAUAAACUGGGAAAUUCCGUUCUGUUUGGUUAAAUUUCGUGGUCGUUCAUAGGCGUAGGUACUUUAUGGAUUAAAUACCUUUAUUUUGAAAGAGGUUAAAUACUAAUUUAAUACUUUUAAUCCUUUUGUAUAAUAUAUACCUCUUAACGCUUUGUAGCAUGCAAAAAUGAGGACAAGUAAUAUAUACAGAAUAUAAAUACUUUUAAAUAAUAUUUUAAAUGUUAGUAUUUACUGCUACGCUAUAGUGUAAUCACAAUAUUAUUAUAACAAUAUUUAAAAAAAUGGAGGUAUUCAGUCUAACGAAAAGAUGUUCUAAUAAUUCUCCACUAUCACUGAGUGAAAAAGUUAUUAUUUUAAGUGGAAUCUCCCAAGCAAAAGCCAGGACGACCAACAAAAGUCCUUGAUGAAAAUACUAAAUGUAUAAUUCAAAGAAAAGUUCACUCUUUUUUAUUUUAAAAAGAAAAAAAAUUUCACUCUUUUUAUCGAUUGGCAAAAGAUAUUGCGUUUGAAGCAAAUUUGAUAAAAAAAGAACUGCUGCCAUAGCAAACUUACACAAAACUCGUUUCAUGAAAUACGCCGUGGAAGAUAUAGUCGAAAAAUAUAAUAUAACUGUACUACGCUUACCCCCCAUAUCAUUGCGAACUAAAUCCUAUAGAACUGAUAUGGGCGCAGGUAAAAGGAUUUGUAGCAAGACAAAACACGUCUUUUAAAAUGAAAGACGUUAAGCUACUGUUUGAUCAAGCCAUUAUGGAAGCAACACCAGCGAAUUGGCGAAAAGCAGUCCAGCAUGUAAUUAAGAAAGAGGACAAAAUGUGGGAUCUUGACAACCUGAUCGAUCAGACAGUCGACCCUUUAAUUGAAUCGGUGAGUGGAAGAACGGUCCAAAUGACCAAAAUUGACACUUCGAAGUGAGAUAGCCAUCUUUAUUAAACGACCUCCUUCCAUCGAAUGAGCUCAAAAACGGUCCAAAAUUCAAUACCGUUACCUACAAUCAGCCCCCCGUCGAAACAGACUGAGCGGAAGAACGGUCCAUGUGAAGCACUGCGUCAGCGGUUUGUUGUUGUCGUAUUUAGAGAUUAUUAUUCAUUUGUUAUCGAACUGUUACCGCGUCUGAAAAACGAAGAAAAUAAUAUUUAACUUUUGGAAAUCAAAAUGGAAAGCGGUGAAAAUGAAAGUGAUAGAGGCGACGAGAGUAAUCAACCGCAAGGCAGAAAAAGAUCAAGGAAUGUAGAUAAAUGGAAGGCCACAAAAUAUAAACAUGCACGCCUGGCAGGUGAAUCUUACAUCAGUAGUACAUCGGGUAGCAUUAAAGAGGCUAAGAAACCUGGCCCACCUUGUGUGUACCAUAGUUUAUUAUUUUUUUCUUUAUUGCAUAAAAUACUUACUCGCUAUAGAACUCUAUUUAGAUGUCUCUCUCUAGACUUACCUAAAUGUACUUAACAUGUAUACGUUUCUUUUCAGAUCUAAGCUGAAGUGCACGGAGAAGUUUUCCGAAGAAUUUAAAAACGAUAUUAUUGCCAAGUUAUAUGCUGGUCAACCUAAGAAUGAGCAAGAUACAUUCCUAAUAGGUCUUAUAAAAGUAAAACCUUGCAAAAAGCAUAAACCCACCGAAGGUCAUCAACAACAGUAACAGUUUCUGACAUCAUUGGCGGUGCAUUUUCCUCCAGUUUUAAACUGGUUAGACCGAACGUAAGGCCAGAGCUUCCAAAUGACAAGGCCUAUUUCGAAGCAGUACCUAUUAAUGACAAAAAAAUCCAGGACUUAAAGAAAGUUCUACAAUACGUUAGUGGUGAAGAUUUAGCAUUCUAUUACCAUAUUAUUUCAUGGAAUGUUACUACUUCUGAAACUAUUAAAUAAAAGCUCACCUUUAUUGUA
rnacentral:lncRNA from 1 species